UACGUAGGGUGCGAGCGUUAAUCGGAAUUAUUGGGCGUAAAGAGCUCGUAGGCGGUUUGUCACGUCUGCUGUGAAAACUGGAGGCUCAACCUCCAGCCUGCAGUGGGUACGGGCAGACUAGAGUGCGGUAGGGGAGAUUGGAAUUCCUGGUGUAGCGGUGGAAUGCGCAGAUAUCAGGAGGAACACCGAUGGCGAAGGCAGAUCUCUGGGCCGUAACUGACGCUGAGGAGCGAAAGCAUGGGGAGCGAACAGG
rnacentral:rRNA from 1 species